AGUGAACGCUGGCGGUAGGCCUAACACAUGCAAGUCGAACGGCAGCACAGUAAGAGCUUGCUCUUACGGGUGGCGAGUGGCGGACGGGUGAGGAAUACAUCGGAAUCUACUUUUUCGUGGGGGAUAACGUAGGGAAACUUACGCUAAUACCGCAUACGACCUACGGGUGAAAGCAGGGGAUCUUCGGACCUUGCGCGAUUGAAUGAGCCGAUGUCGGAUUAGCUAGUUGGCGGGGUAAAGGCCCACCAAGGCGACGAUCCGUAGCUGGUCUGAGAGGAUGAUCAGCCACACUGGAACUGAGACACGGUCCAGACUCCUACGGGAGGCAGCAGUGGGGAGUAUUGGACAAUGGGCGCAAGCCUGAUCCAGCCAUACCGCGUGGGUGAAGAAGGCCUUCGGGUUGUAAAGCCCUUUUGUUGGGAAAGAAAAGCAGCAGGUUAAUACCCCGCUGCUCUGACGGUACCCAAAGAAUAAGCACCGGCUAACUUCGUG
rnacentral:rRNA from 1 species